rnacentral:rRNA from 1 species
GACGAACGCUGGCGGCGUGCUUAACACAUGCAAGUCGAACGGAAAGGCCCUGCUUUUGUGGGUUGCUCAAGUGGCGAACGGGUGAGUAACACGUGAGUAACCUGCCCUUGCCUUUGGGAUAACUUCAGGAAACUGGGGCUAAUACCGGAUAGGAGCUCCUGCUGCAUGGUGGGGGUUGGAAAUUUUCGGCGGUUGGGGAUGGACUCGCGGCUUAUCAGCUUGUUGGUGGGGUGGUGGCUUACCAAGGCUUUGACGGGUAGCCGGCCUGAGAGGGUGACCGGCCACAUUGGGACUGAGAUACGGCCCAGACUCCUACGGGAGGCAGCAGUGGGGAAUAUUGCACAAUGGGCGGAAGCCUGAUGCAGCAACGCCGCGUGCGGGAUGACGGCCUUCGGGUUGUAAACCGCUUUCGCCUGUGACGAAGCGUGAGUGACGGUAAUGGGUAAAGAAGCACCGGCUAACUACGUG